GACGAACGCUGGCGGCGUGCCUAACACAUGCAAGUCGAACGAUGAACCCGGAGCUUGCUCCGGUGGAUUAGUGGCGAACGGGUGAGUAACACGUGAGUAACCUGCCCUUGACUCUGGGAUAACUGCGGGAAACUGUAGCUAAUACCGGAUACGACCCUCGGCGGCAUCGCCAGGGGGUGGAAAGAAUUUCGGUCAAGGAUGGACUCGCGGCCUAUCAGCUAGUUGGUGAGGUAACGGCGCACCAAGGCGACGACGGGUAGCCGGCCUGGGAGGGUGACCGGCCAGUCGGGGAGUGGGACAGGGCGAAGACUCCUACGGGAGGGAGCAGUGGGGAAUAUUGCACAAUGGGCGGAAGCCUGAUGCAGCAACGCCGCGUGAGGGAUGACGGCCUUCGGGUUGUAAACCUCUUUUAGUAGGGAAGAAGCGAAAGUGACGGUACCUGCAGAAAAAGCACCGGCUAACUACGUGCCAGCCGCCGCCGUAA
rnacentral:rRNA from 1 species